rnacentral:rRNA from 1 species
UACGGGGGGGGCAAGCGUUGUUCGGAAUUACUGGGCGUAAAGCGCACGUAGGCGGAUUGCUAAGUCAGGGGUGAAAUCCUGGAGCUCAACUCCAGAACUGCCUUUGAUACUGGCGACCUUGAGUCCGGGAGAGGUGAGUGGAACUGCGAGUGUAGAGGUGAAAUUCGUAGAUAUCAGGAGGAACACCAGUGGCGAAGGCGGCUUCCUGGACACCAACUGACGCUGAGACGCGAAAGCGUGGGGAGCAAACAGG